rnacentral:rRNA from 1 species
UCGUUCCUACGGGGGGCAGCAGUGAGGAAUAUUGGUCAAUGGGCUUACGCCUGAACCAGCCAAGUCGCGUGAGGGAAGACGGCCCUACGGGUUGUAAACCUCUUUUGCCGGGGAGCAACGGGCGUCACGUGUGGCGCCACUGAGAGUACCCGGAGAAAAAGCAUCGGCUAACUCCGUGCCAGCAGCCGCGGUAAUACGGAGGAUGCGAGCGUUAUCCGGAUUUAUUGGGUUUAAAGGGUGCGUAGGCGGAUCGUUAAGUCAGUGGUCAAAUUGAGGGGCUCAACCCCUUCCCGCCAUUGAAACCG